rnacentral:rRNA from 1 species
ACCCGCUGAACUUAAGCAUAUCACUAAGCGGAGGAGAAGAAACUAACCAGGAUUUCCCUAGUAAUGGCGAACGAACCGGAAAGAGCCCAGCUUGAAAAUUUCGCCGCUGCGCGGCGAAAGUUGUAGUCUGGAGACGCAUCCUCUGCAACGCACCGGACCCAAGUUCCCUGGAAAGGGACGUCAGAGAGGGUGACAACCCCGUCGAGUCUGGACCGUGUUGCUCCACGAGGUGUGGUCGUCGAGUCGGGCUGUUUGGGAAUGCAGCCCUAAGUGGGAGGUAAAUUCCUUCCAAGGCUAAAUAUUGGCAAGAGACCGAUAGCGAACAAGUACCGCGAGGGAAAGAUGAAAAGGACUUUGAAAAGAGAGUUAAAAAGUGCUUGAAAUUGCUGGGAGGGAAGCGAAUGGAAGCUGCGGGUGCGCCCCGGUUGGAUGUGGAACGGCCUUUCAAAAGCUGGUCCGCCGCUCAACGCGGGGCGCUGGUCAGCGUGGGCCAUCGCGGCGGGACAAGAGCGGGAUGUAGUUUCCCGCCUAUGCCGUUGCGGUGGCCGAGGAACGAAGCGCGCGAGAGAUUCGUCUCUCGUGGGACCUCGGUCCCAACUGCGCGCUCGGGACGCUGGCGUAUUGAGCUCUUC